AGCGAACGUUAGCGGUGUGGAUUAGGCAUGCAAGUCGUGCGCGAAAGUCCGCAAGGAUGAGUAAAGCGGCGAAAGGGUGAGUAACACGUAAUCAACCAACCCCGNGAUCGGAAUAACCACUGGAAACGGUGGCUAAUGCUGGAUGACCCUGCGAGGAGGCAUCUUCUUGCAGGUAAACGGUGGCGCAAGCUGCUGUUCGGGGACGGGAUUGCGGCCUAAUCAGCUAGUUGGCGGGUAGUGGCCCACCAAGGCGAUGACGGGUAGCCGAUCUGAGAGGAUGACCGGCCACACUGGGACUGAGAACUGCCCAGACUCCUACGGGAGGCUGCAAGUCGAGGAUCUUCCGCAAUGGGCGAAAGCCCGACGGAGCGACACCGCGUGCAGGAUG
rnacentral:rRNA from 1 species